GGUGGAGCAGCUUGGUAGCUCGUCGGGCUCAUAACCCGAAGGUCGUUGGUUCAAAUCCAGCCC
rnacentral:tRNA from 1 species